rnacentral:misc_RNA from 1 species
UCACCCCUCAAGCCCCGUGCUUGGCGUUGGACGGCCUGGUCGAGGUUGCUCGACCCCUCCUAAAGACAAUGACGGCGGUCUGUGGUUCCCCCGGUACACUGAGCUUCCUCACCGAGCACGUAUCGGACUAGGGCACCCGGGCGACGGUCCUCUCCCAUGGCUGGGAAACUUUUAUCUA